AACGAACGCUGGCGGCAGGCUUAACACAUGCAAGUCGAACGAGAAGCUAGAGCUUGCUCUAGUGGAAAGUGGCAGACGGGUGAGUAACGCGUGGGAAUUUACCUAGAGGUACGGAAUAACGCAGGGAAACUUGUGCUAAUACCGUAUACGCCCUUCGGGGGAAAGAUUUAUCGCCUUUAGAUGAGCCCGCGUCGGAUUAGCUUGUUGGUAGGGUAACGGCCUACCAAGGCAACGAUCCGUAGCUGGUCUGAGAGGAUGAUCAGCCACACUGGGACUGAGACACGGCCCAG
rnacentral:rRNA from 1 species